rnacentral:lncRNA from 10 species
CAGAGGAAUCAAAAGAAGGAGGAAGAAUAGAAUGAUUUGGAGGAAAAGAAGGAGAAAGUAGAGGAGUUGAAAAAAAGGAAGAAAAAGAAAAAUGCAGAAUCCUUUGUCAAUCCAACAGAACACAGCAAAAAAGCAAAGAAAGUGAAAGGCUAUAUACCGACUACCACUGCACCCCAAAAAAGCUUGCUAAUUUCAUUCAUUCCUACGUAUCCAUGUGGGCAAACUCAAAUGAAGAUGCACCAACAGAAGAGUAAAAUAUAUUGCUUCCUCUUACUCCUACACAGAUGUUCAUGGCAUGGAUGAAUGGAGAGGGCCACAAAGCAUGGUCCCUGUAUUUUUUGGCUCCUCCGCAAAUACUAAAGACUUGGACAAGGACAGCUCUCCUAUUGUAAUCAUGGCCAGAAAUGGGUUUACUCUGAAACUAAUGAAGAAGAUUAAUUCCUAGUAAAGUGUUCACAUGUUCAUACGCUUUUGUAAAAUUUGCUAAAGUAAGAUAUUCUUAUUGCAAUUGGGUAAUGCUAUUGUCAUCUUCUACCACGACUUCUCCUGCAUCAUACUCCUCCUCUGGCAGAAGGUCCCAGAGCAGCCAUGGAGAAGUGCUGGGUCCAGCAUAAUAUACUUACAUGGUUCACAGCCAACUCCAUGUAUAGUUAGAUUGGUUGCCACUGCAUAGUUUGCUUCCAGAAAAACUUCUACCAUCUCCUAUGACUGUUCAUCUUGCAUAUUACACAAAGGUGCCUACAAUUCCUACUUUCAGAACAUGUAAGCAGUGAAAGAUAAAUGAGGAAUGAGGCUUGAAAUACCUGGAAACAUAAUUUCAUCUUCCAAUAAUCAGAUAUCUAAAAUUGUGAGAGUUAGGCUUUUACUGAUUCUCAAUCAAAACAAAAGUUCUCUCCCACCAAAACAUGUACUCAAUAAUGGCCUAAAAUCUCAUAAUUUGUAUAUGAAAGAAACAUUAGAGAUUUUUCCAAAUUUGGCAACAAUGCUUAAAAUUUCAGGACAUUACCCAAAACAAGUUAUAAAGGCAGAAAGUUUCUAAGUAAUUGCAUUCUAUAAAGUUCAAUCAGACAUGCUUGAGGAAAGACUAAAUUACCUCACUACUGUCUUUAUUACAAAUAUUAUAAAAAUUGAUGUCUCAUGAAAAGUUGAUUGAUAGAUUACAGCCAAAAAAUGAAAAGAUGUAUUAGGGAGUUAAGUAAUUUUAUAUAUAUAUAUAUACACACACACACACACACACAUACAUAUAUAAUGUGUAUUACAUAUUAUAUAUGUGUAUAUAUACAAAUAUACAUAUAUAUGUAUGUAGAUAUACAUGUGUACUAUAUAUACACAUUAUAAUAUAAACAUUAUAUAUAAAUAUAUAUAAUUUUUCAGGAUUCUUCUAUUUGUGGUAUUUGUUAGCUUUUAAAAGUUAUACUUAGAUGUGAUUUCUUUCGCAUUCUAAAUAAACAUUUAUAUUUGUA